CCGCUGCCGGGGCUCGCCCUGCACCCCGAGGCCGGCGGGAUCGAGAGGGAGGUGGCCAAGCCACCCCUGGCCGGUGUGCUGGGAAGAGGGACUGGAACGUGCCAGUGCAACUGUGGAGGGAGCAAAACGGGUACACUGGAUUCAUCCCCUGCUCCAUGGACAAUGUUGGCAUGACCUACCUCUUGUCUGUGAAGAAAGCCAUGCAGGAAUUUGACCGUCGCCAGCUUUUGGAGAGAAAUCCACCUUAUACGUUGGGCACGAGAUUCCCCCUGACACACUGGCCGGACACCAAAAUCUACAACCGUGCUGGACUCAUACCUAACUAUGCUGGCUUUGUACCAUGUAAGUUCAUCAGCUGAGUGAAAACGAAAGUCACUAAUUACUGGGUUAAGUAGUGCUGUUACUAUCUGGAGUGGCAAGCAGUGGACAAUCACUGAGAUGUUCCACAUGGGUAGUAGGUUUUUUUGUGGUCUG
rnacentral:lncRNA from 1 species